rnacentral:rRNA from 5 species
UUUUACGGAGAGUUUGAUCCUGGCUCAGGACGAACGCUGGCGGCGUGCUUAACACAUGCAAGUCGAACGAUGAUGCCCAGCUUGCUGGGUGGAUUAGUGGCGAACGGGUGAGUAACACGUGAGUAACCUGCCCCUGACUCUGGGAUAAGCGUUGGAAACGACGUCUAAUACUGGAUAUGAUCACUGGCCGCAUGGUCUGGUGGUGGAAAGAUUUUUUGGUUGGGGAUGGACUCGCGGCCUAUCAGCUUGUUGGUGAGGUAAUGGCUCACCAAGGCGACGACGGGUAGCCGGCCUGAGAGGGUGACCGGCCACACUGGGACUGAGACACGGCCCAGACUCCUACGGGAGGCAGCAGUGGGGAAUAUUGCACAAUGGGCGAAAGCCUGAUGCAGCAACGCCGCGUGAGGGAUGACGGCCUUCGGGUUGUAAACCUCUUUUAGUAGGGAAGAAGCGAAAGUGACGGUACCUGCAGAAAAAGCACCGGCUAACUACGUGCCAGCAGCCGCGGUAAUACGUAGGGUGCAAGCGUUGUCCGGAAUUAUUGGGCGUAAAGAGCUCGUAGGCGGUUUGUCGCGUCUGCUGUGAAAUCCCGAGGCUCAACCUCGGGCUUGCAGUGGGUACGGGCAGACUAGAGUGCGGUAGGGGAGAUUGGAAUUCCUGGUGUAGCGGUGGAAUGCGCAGAUAUCAGGAGGAACACCGAUGGCGAAGGCAGAUCUCUGGGCCGUAACUGACGCUGAGGAGCGAAAGCAUGGGGAGCGAACAGGAUUAGAUACCCUGGUAGUCCAUGCCGUAAACGUUGGGCGCUAGAUGUAGGGACCUUUCCACGGUUUCUGUGUCGUAGCUAACGCAUUAAGCGCCCCGCCUGGGGAGUACGGCCGCAAGGCUAAAACUCAAAGGAAUUGACGGGGGCCCGCACAAGCGGCGGAGCAUGCGGAUUAAUUCGAUGCAACGCGAAGAACCUUACCAAGGCUUGACAUACACCGGAAACGGCCAGAGAUGGUCGCCCCCUUGUGGUCGGUGUACAGGUGGUGCAUGGUUGUCGUCAGCUCGUGUCGUGAGAUGUUGGGUUAAGUCCCGCAACGAGCGCAACCCUCGUUCUAUGUUGCCAGCGGGUUAUGCCGGGGACUCAUAGGAGACUGCCGGGGUCAACUCGGAGGAAGGUGGGGAUGACGUCAAAUCAUCAUGCCCCUUAUGUCUUGGGCUUCACGCAUGCUACAAUGGCCGGUACAAAGGGCUGCGAUACCGUAAGGUGGAGCGAAUCCCAAAAAGCCGGUCUCAGUUCGGAUUGAGGUCUGCAACUCGACCUCAUGAAGUCGGAGUCGCUAGUAAUCGCAGAUCAGCAACGCUGCGGUGAAUACGUUCCCGGGCCUUGUACACACCGCCCGUCAAGUCAUGAAAGUCGGUAACACCCGAAGCCGGUGGCCUAACCCUUGUGGAAGGAGCCGUCGAAGGUGGGAUCGGUGAUUAGGACUAAGUCGUAACAAGGUAGCCGUACCGGAAGGUGCGGCUGGAUCACCUCCUUUCUAAGGA